AUAAAUUGAUCCUUUAUGUCAGCAAAGUUUUUACUAGACACAGUUUUUCUUCAAGAUGUGUUUGGUUAGUGGAACUAGAGUAAAUAUUUCAUAGGACGAUAGCAGUAAAACUGAGUGGCAUGCAAAUACCUUCAUUGAUCUUGGACUUUCUGACUAGACAUCAUAAUGAAAGACACACUGGGAACUCGUGAGAGGAUGACUGGUCACUGUCCACUGUGAAGCAUUAUAUUGAUAUCCAGAUCCUGGGCCUGAAGUACUUCUGCAGAUAAAACAGAGUCCGCUGGAAAGCUGUGGGAGAUUUGCCCAGGUUGCAACAGAUUGUGAAAAUUUCAGCAUAGAUGGAAGAUGGUGUUACCAGAUUAUUUACUAGGCCUACUUCAGCUUUGUCCAAGGAAAGAACAAACCAUUGAAAGGAGGAAAAUGUUUCUGAUGAAGCUGUGCCACUGGGCAGAGUGGAAGGAAAGAUUCAUGUGAUUCUUAAGCUAGUGAAGAAGAGCCUGGCACUGUAUUUGG
rnacentral:lncRNA from 1 species